UACGGAGGGGGCUAGCGUUGUUCGGAAUUACUGGGCAUAAAGCGCGCGUAGGCGGACCUGCAAGUCGGGGGUGAAAGCCCGAGGCUCAACCUCGGAACUGCCUUCGAUACUGCGGGUCUCGAGUCCGGGAGAGGUGAGUGGAAUUCCUAGUGUAGAGGUGAAAUUCGUAGAUAUUAGGAAGAACACCAGUGGCGAAGGCGGCUCACUGGCCCGGUACUGACGCUGAGGCGCGAAAGCGUGGGGAGCAAACAGGG
rnacentral:rRNA from 1 species